UGCGCAGGUGGGCUUGUAAGUCAGUGGUGAAAUCUUGCCGCUUAACGGUAAAAUUGCCAUUGAUACUGCAAGUCUUGAGUAUGGUUGAGGUAGGUGGAAUGUGUUGUGUAGCGGUGAAAUGCAUAGAUAUGACACAGAACGCCGAUUGCGAAGGCAACUUACUAAGCCAUUACUGACGCUGAGGCACGAGAGCGUGGGGAGCGAACAGGAUUAGAUACCCUGGUAGUCC
rnacentral:rRNA from 1 species